CAGGGAAGGCAGGGUGGGAUGAAGAGGGGCCCAGGCCUUCCAAAGUUGAGUCUGGGCAGGGCCCGGAGGGGCAGACAAAGUCACGGCUGGGAAGGACAGGGGCUGGGCUGAGGGUGUGGUAGGUGUGGACUUGGCAGUGGAUGGCUCCCUAGGGGUGAGGGUGGCAGGCUCUGGGCCCACAAACAGCCUCAGUGAGGCUUGGGGAUCGGGCCCUGUCAGUCUGAGAGCCAGGCUCAGAGGCCACAAAUGUCAAACACAGGGUCAGAGAAAUGGCUUCUCUCUGACCCCAUAUUCUGAUUGAAAUUCAAAUCAGGCCUGACUCAGGCCAGUCUGGGGACUGGACUGGGAACCUAGAGGAGGGUGUGAGUCCUGGAGCUGGGGAUGGUGGGCUCCUCAGGCUGUAGCUGAACAUCACCCCCAGACCUGGCCCAGGCGGGUAGGGCUGGGGUCUGUGUCCGGCUCCUCAGUAGGCCUGGUGGCCGAAGCGUUUCUCCCAGCCUCAGUGUGGUGCCUGUGGUAAUGGAGCUGUUGGCAUUUUGCAAUGGGCCGGGGGUGGGGAGGCGGCGCACACAUGCUUCCUGUGGUGACCGGGCGCUUCCUGUUUUCUCAGGCGCCGGCCUGCUACUGCCGAUGUGGAAACAGGGCAGCUGCAGCCGGGCGGCUCCGGGCUGGGUGCCCCGACCCUGCCCAGAGGGGCCUAAAUGGGCCCACUAACCCCAGGCCCCAGAGUGGGACAGAGGAUGGUCCGUGUUUCCCCCUACACCACACCAGGUUCCAUCCUUCCCCAACAGCUUCCCGCCAAGAGGAAGGGCCAGGCAGGGCCAGGGGCUCGAGGCUGAACAGGUGGUCAAGGGAGUCAGAGGUCAGGGGUGAGAGCCCUGGACUGGGCGUCAGGGCAUGUGACUGUGGUUUCAGCUCUGUCCUUAACUCGCUGUCGACAGUCCCUAACCCUCUCCAGGCCUUGGUUUCCCUUUUCCUUUUGUGUCAUGAUCAUGAAAUCUGUGACUAAAACCCUCACCCAUUGCUGCCCCAAUCAGAGGUGUAUCUAAGGUAUGGUAAGUGCGGCUUGAGGAGGGGGCGCCACUGAGCAGUUUCUAUUAACCCAGUACAGCCCAACGUCUUUCCUCAAGGGCGGCAGACACAGAGCUUAGCAAGUGGGAGUAGAUGGGAGCAUAAGCCACGACCCUCCCCCCACUAAGUUCAUGGCAGCGCCAGACAAGGUGUGGAAUGACAUUCUUGAGGAGCCACAAAUAUGAAAGGCGCCUGACUGAGGCAGCCGAAUAAGAGGGGGGAAGGCAUUUCUGCUGACACCCGCCACAUUACCCUCUUUCAACAUCUAUUCACCUUGAAGGGGGGGCACACCUUAGAGAUUGCUUCUGGGUGUUUAUUACCCUCACUACCUGGGGUACAAUUUCAGUGCUUGUCAUAGGUACUAUUUUCUGUAGAUACGCCUCUGCCAAGAUCCUCAGCUUUGGGGAUGGGGCAACUCAGAGGUGAGGCUUGGUGUAGGCCUUGACAGAGGGGAACUGGACAGGCUGGGGUCAGGGAGAAUACGGCAGGCGGAGGCCAGACUGGAACAGCCUGGAGAUGGGAAGGCCAGAACCAAGUUUGAUGGGACACACGAGAGAGAGAUGGGUACCGAGGUUGAUCCCAAAGAACUCAAACGCAGGAGAAUUUUAGGAACCUCUUUAUGCAUACGAUCCUGAGGAAAGGGUCUGACACCCCUCAUGUUCUUGCUCAGAGGAAAGACAAGUGGCUGUUGAGAAGGGGAGGCAGGGCCAACCCUACCCACAAGCUCAGGAGAUGGGAGCCCAUCUGGUGGGAUGUGAGAGACUUGGGAGAUUUUUCUCUUCUCGUCUGUCAAAAUGCUCUGGACGUCCACUAUGAGGGCCAGGCUUUGGGGUUCAGCAUUGCCCCCUUCCCGGACCUGUUUUGUUUUGUUUUUAAGCUGAUAUUGCAAGAAGGGGAGGAGAGAUGACUUUGCUUCCUGGUACUUUGCUGACAGAGUCUGACCUCUGGAGGAAGAGUUUCUCUGAAGGAAGGCUGAGGCUGAGCCCUCUGGCUGGUGUGGGUCACAGGCCUUCACGGUGCAGAACGGAGCUGGAACAGAUGAACACUUGGCCCGAGAACAGUCUGACACUCCUGGGAACCAGCAGGCGGGAUGAUACGACAGUGACGGCUCUCCCAGGAAGGAACAGAGCUAGACAUGA